GCUUCUUGGCAUGUAUGCCUCAGGAUCAAAAAGGCUUGCACUCUGAGAUGACCGAGAGCCUCUACUUUGGUUGCUGAGCUGGAGGAGCCGAUGACUGCAUGGAUGUACAGAAGAUAUUGAUCCAGCCUUUUGCAUUCCACUUCCUUUCUUUUAGCAAAAAGUUGAGUGGAGGAAGAGGCAAUGAUCAGGGUGGCAUUUUAAGUCUGGAACAAUGCCCUGAGAAGAUGUGGCUCAUCAUAGGGAAAGGUUUCUUGACUCCUUAGUAGCCUUGAAAGUUGUUUUCCCACUCCCUUGCCAAGCAUGGUAUAGAAUAGUGGGCUUUAAACCUGGUGAGGAGCUAUACAUCAGAGUGGUAGUGUAGGUACCUGCGGGAUCAAAAAUUUAGAGCUAGAAAGAACUGGAGAAAUUAUCUAGUUCAAUCCACUCAUUUUGUAGAUAAGGAAAACAAAGUGCAAGAAGAUUAAAUGGCCACCUGAAGUCAUGCAGGAAGUGGAAUCACAGAAGGAUGAGAAAACUAAGGGCCAUGGAGUUUAAAUUCAAGUUCAAGACGAAUGAGAUGUCCCAGUGAAGACUUCUCAGUGUAAUUAAGUGUAUCGGAGGAGCAGACAGCCAUCUCUCAAGAUUGUAAUAA